UUUCUCAUUCACACAACUAAGACAACUAAUCAACUAAGUCAGGACUAUCCUAUUGGUGAGACCUUUACAGUUUAAGAGUCCUCUGCAUAGCAUCCAUGAAAUUUUCCAGAAAUGUUCCGAAGGAGUCAUUCUCGGCUUCGAAUCGUUAAUUCCCCACAGGUGUUGCCAGAGUUGCUGUGUUAAAACCACUUGGUUUUUAAUUUCAGAUUUCCAGCGCCCGAAUUUAUUUUUUUUAAAAAACGGUUCCCCUUCCUGGAGUGUGACAUUUCUUACCCGCUUCCAAAUCAUACAUGAACGGAAUUCACUCUGCACAGACUAGAAGCUGGAUGAACCCGCUACUGAGGUUAGCUGUUCCAGACUGGCUCAAGGGGGAUGAACUCCCGUGCCCAUUCCCCACUCUUACAAAACAAAAUUGUCCUGUACGAAGAGAAAUGAGUUAAAUUAAUGUUUUGUUCUUUCUCACGAAACAGGACAAUUAAAACAAAAAAGAAACCAUUGAGAGGUUUCGAAGGGUCACCGGACCCAAAAUCUUAACUGUGUUUUUCUGUCCGCGGAUGCCUCCAGGACCUGCUGACUUUCUCCAACAUUGUCUGUGCUUGUUUUAAACAAGUUUUGGGGGGAGCGGGCAGGGUGACGCCGCUCGUCUUGAAAGCUCCAACUGAACACGGGAGCGUGCGCGAGCCCUGGACGCCCCUCAUGGCAACCGUCGUCAAGGAGGGACUGUCUUUGAGUGACAUGGGCACUGACUACUCGAGAGCCGCUCUCCCACUGUGACCCCGCCCAUAUUCCUGGACCUCGGCCAUUCAGCGGUGGAUGGGCGAUACAUCCGGUUAGACCGCCGUUGACUGGGGAGACUUGUUUUGACAGAAGCCGGGGCGAAAUGGACGGUCGUUAUUCAGUUUUAGACCUGCAUUCUGUUGGACUUCGCCACUUGUAACUCUUUGGCUAUGUUCCUCUUUUGUGGAUCCAUGUAUUAGUAUGAAAUCCACGUGGCAUAUUACACCGUUGACGCUUUCCAGCGAAUUGGAUAUCAUUCUCUGAAACAUUUCUGGAGCGAAUGCAAUUAGCGAAGGCUCAUAUGGAAAUUGGAACACAGAAUCUUCUGGUGAAGGUAAAAAUGUUAGAGGUGCUUAAUGGUGGGGAUUGGAUGGAUGAUUUGGCUGGUCUUACUGUCCAAGCUUUGGAACUUGAUUUGACUCAACAAGGAGUGAUUGUAAACCUGACAGCUACAUAAAAUAGCUCAGUAAGCUUUAGAAUAGAAAACCUCCCACUAAUUGUUAUCCUCUACAGUUGUUUGUCCUUGCUCUGUAUCCUUUUAUAGUUCAGUGUGAAAUCUGACAGUUCUUCAUGUGACAUUCGUGUGCUGUAUGAAGAGUGGUAAUGCACAUAUUUCUUAGCCUGCAACUGGAACAAACUUGUCAAGAAGUGAAGAGGUCAGAACCACAGACUGUAGUUGCUGGUUUAGGAGAGAACAUUACAGUGCAGCACAGGUCCUUCAGCCCUUGAUGGCAGGUGUAGAGAUUUAAAAUUCUCUAGGAGAAAGUGAGGACUGCAGAUGCUGGAGAUCAGAGCUGAAAAGUAUGUUGCUGGA